rnacentral:rRNA from 1 species
GUAUCCUGUCUGAAUAUGGGGGGACCAUCCUCCAAGGCUAAAUACUCCUGACUGACCGAUAGUGAACCAGUACCGUGAGGGAAAGGCGAAAAGAACCCCGGCGAGGGGAGUGAAAAAGAACCUGAAACCGUGUACGUACAAGCAGUGGGAGCACGCUUAGGCGUGUGACUGCGUACCUUUUGUAUAAUGGGUCAGCGACUUAUAUUCUGUAGCAAGGUUAACCGAAUAGGGGAGCCGAAGGGAAACCGAGUCUUAACUGGGCGUUAAGUUGCAGGGUAUAGACCCGAAACCCGGUGAUCUAGCCAUGGGCAGGUUGAAGGUUGGGUAACACUAACUGGAGGACCGAACCGACUAAUGUUGAAAAAUUAGCGGAUGACUUGUGGCUGGGGGUGAAAGGCCAAUCAAACCGGGAGAUAGCUGGUUCUCCCCGAAAGCUAUUUAGGUAGCGCCUCGUGAAUUCAUCUCCGGGGGUAGAGCACUGUUUCGGCAAGGGGGUCAUCCCGACUUACCAACCCGAUGCAAACUGCGAAUACCGGAGAAUGUUAUCACGGGAGACACACGGCGGGUGCUAACGUCCGUCGUGAAGAGGGAAACAACCCAGACCGCCAGCUAAGGUCCCAAAGUCAUGGUUAAGUGGGAAACGAUGUGGGAAGGCCCAGACAGCCAGGAUGUUGGCUUAGAAGCAGCCAUCAUUUAAAGAAAGCGUAAUAGCUCACUGGUCGAGUCGGCCUGCGCGGAA